GCGGCGGACGGGUGAGUAAUGUCUGGGAAACUGCCUGAUGGAGGGGGAUAACUACUGGAAACGGUAGCUAAUACCGCAUAACGUCGCAAGACCAAAGUGGGGGACCUUCAGGGCCUCAUGCCAUCAGAUGUGCCCAGAUGGGAUUAGCUAGUAGGUGGGGUAACGGCUCACCUAGGCGACGAUCCCUAGCUGGUCUGAGAGGAUGACCAGCCACACUGGAACUGAGACACGGUCCAGACUCCUACGGGAGGCAGCAGUGGGGAAUAUUGCACAAUGGGCGCAAGCCUGAUGCAGCCAUGCCGCGUGUGUGAAGAAGGCCUUCGGGUUGUAAAGCACUUUCAGCGGGGAGGAAGGCGCGAUAAGGUUAAUAACCUCGUCGAUUGACGUUACCCGCAGAAGAAGCACCGGCUAACUCCGUGCCAGCAGCCGCGGUAAUACGGAGGGUGCAAGCGUUAAUCGGAAUUACUGGGCGUAAGAAAGCGCACGCAGGCGGUCUGUCAAGUCGGAUGUGAAAUCCCCGGGCUCAACCUGGGAACUGCAUUCGAAACUGGCAGGCUAGAGUCUUGUAGAGGGGGGUAGAAUUCCAGGUGUAUGCAGGUGAAAUGCGUAGAGAUCUGGAGGAAUACCGGUGGCGAAGGCGGCCCCCUGGACAAAGACUACUGACGCUCAGGUGCGAAAGCGUGGGGAGCCAAACAGGA
rnacentral:rRNA from 1 species